rnacentral:lncRNA from 1 species
UGGCCAGAGUAAGUGUCAAUACUAAAAAAGAGUUUUCACAAGAUUCACAAAUGAACUUGAGUCGAGCCAAUCUAGCAUAUGAUUAACGAUGGGGUUUGAUGAGUUCUUCAUGACCUCUGUCAAGUUGGAACACACAAUAGAGGGAUUAUAUCACAUGAUAACUACACCUAGAGGUUUACUUUUUCGUUCUGCUGGAUUGUCACUACAUGUUGCUAGAUGUCAUUGGUAGAUUGUGAGAACUCACUAAGAUCAUUUUUGGAUUAACAAUCUU